GUUGACAGCCACACCCCCAGCCCUGCACGGUCUCAUUUCAUUUGUUCUCAGAAGCUAAGCAGGGUCCCGCCUGUUUGGUAUUUGGUUGGGAGACCCAGGGAGAAGUCUGUUGUUAAUC
rnacentral:rRNA from 1 species